UAUACAGUGGGAAAACCAGCCUGGCAACAUAAGCUCACAAGCUAUCAGAAAGUUGUAUGGCAACCACCUCCGGCGCCAAAUAGAACUGGCAGACAUAGACAUUCAGUACAAGAAGAAAAAGAUAGAAAAUCUUGCACUGGAGUCCGAAAUAAAAAAGAGGACAAUUAGGAAACUGGACCUUGAAAUAAAAAAACUUUAGAGGGAGCUCCAAGAAGAUGACACGGCUCAAAAUAAAAAUUAGGUAUAUUCUCGUAAAGUCAAGUGAGCCAUGACAUAUGAGCUCUUAUUGUGAGCACACAGGACGGUGGCAUCUUUCUAAGGUAUUUUUUAUUUUCACAGCAAUCAGUACAACCAAGUCAUCGUUAUAAGGCACCGGCCUCUUUUGCCCAGCACCAGGUGUGGCCACUAGCCUAUAUGAAGGCCCAAAAUUGUGUGUUCCUUUCUGCUCUGACAAUGGCAUGCCCAUUCUUGCGAGAUGUGGUGGAUGAAGAAGCACUUGUGCUGAGGAGAGCCUUCAGGCGAGAAAGGGUCUUCAGGGACCGGUUGGACCCACUGGCCUUCCCUGAUGACCAUCUAUAUGAAAGAUACAGGUUUUCUGCAGAUGGCAUCAGGUAUCUAUGCAGACUACUGGAUCCCAGGAUUAA